AAAGGGUGGGUAACGCGUGGGUGACCUGCCUUCGAGCGGGGGAUAACGUUCCGAAAGGGACGCUAAUACCGCAUAACAUCCUGUCUUUCAAGAGAUGGAGAUCAAAGCCGGGGGAUCGCAAGACCUGGCACUCGAAGAGGGGCCCGUGUCCGAUUAGCUAGUUGGUGGGGUAAUGGCUCACCAAGGCUUCCGAUCGGUAUCCGGCCUGAGAGGGCGGACGGACACACUGGGACUGAGACACGGUCCAGACUCAUACGGGAGGCAGCAGUGGGGAAUUGUUCGCAAUGGGCGCAAGCCUGACGACGCAACGCCGCGUGGAGGAUGAAGAUCUUCGGGUCGUAAACUCCCUUCGAUCGAGACGAACGGCUUCCGGGUGAACAAUCCGGGAGAGUGACGGUACCGAGAGAAGAAGCCCCGGUUAACUCCGUGCCAGCCGCCGCGG
rnacentral:rRNA from 1 species